rnacentral:rRNA from 1 species
ACGAACGCUGGCGGCGUGCCUAAUCCAUGCAAGUAGAACGCACAGUUUAUACCGUAGCUUGCUACACCAUAGACUGUGAGUUGCGAACGGGUGAGUAACGCGUAGGUAACCUGCCUGGUAGCGGGGGAUAACUAUUGGAAACGAUAGCUAAUACCGCAUAAUAUUGAUUAUUGCAUGAUAAUUGAUUGAAAGAUGCUAUUGCAUCACUACCAGAUGGACCUGCGUUGUAUUAGCUAGUAGGUGAGGUAACGGCUCACCUAGGCGACGAUACAUAGCCGACCUGAGAGGGUGAUCGGCCACACUGGGACUGAGACACGGCCCAGACUCCUACGGGAGGCAGCAGUAGGGAAUCUUCGGCAAUGGACGAAAGUCUGACCGAGCAACGCCGCGUGAGUGAAGAAGGUUUUCGGAUCGUAAAGCUCUGUUGUAAGAGAAGAACGGGUGUGAGAGUGGAAAGUUCACACUGUGACGGUAUCUUACCAGAAAGGGACGGCUAACUACGUG